rnacentral:rRNA from 1 species
UACGAAGGGUGCAAGCGUUACUCGGAAUUACUGGGCGUAAAGCGUGCGUAGGUGGUUUGUUAAGUCUGAUGUGAAAGCCCUGGGCUCAACCUGGGAAUUGCAUUGGAUACUGGCAGGCUAGAGUGCGGUAGAGGAUGGCGGAAUUCCCGGUGUAGCAGUGAAAUGCGUAGAGAUCGGGAGGAACAUCUGUGGCGAAGGCGGUUCUCUGGGCAUGUCCUGACGCUGAGGAGCGAAAGCGUGGGGAGCGAACAGG